AGAGUAGGCUAAAUGAUCGCUAUUCGCCUCAUUUUUGGCGGAUAGAGGAAAGUCCGAGCUCCACAGGGCAGGGUGGUCGCUAACGGCGACUGGGGGUGACCCUAAGGAAAGUGCCACAGAAAACAUACCGCCCUCUGAGAUAAGUAUAAUGACUAUCUCAGAGAGUAAGGGUGAAAAGGUGAGGUAAGGGCUCACCAGUUUCCUGGCGAUCGUUACUGGCCUGCUGGUGGUCAACAUGAUCCGCCCGGGCCUUGGGGGAGCUGAACCCGCGGCGGCUGAUGAGGCCCAGAUGGGGGCAAG
rnacentral:RNase_P_RNA from 1 species